rnacentral:lncRNA from 1 species
CUUCCCUAAUGUUUCUCCUUUCUCAUGAGUUUUUUAUGAAAUGCAUUUUAAAUUUCAUUUAAAAUAGUUUUCAAAAAGAGUCUGAAUAAUCUAGGAGUAGAUGAAUGGUGUCAAGCUAGAGUUCACAACUUUUAUGAGUAUAGUCAGAACUGUUUUAGCUUUGGCAUGGAAAAGGAGAUUUGAUUUUAAAACAAGCAAACAGACCUUCUUAUUUAAGCGGUCUCUUGUUCUGUUCCCUCUGCCUGAGUUUGAUAAGAAAGCUUGCAGGACUGUGGUUCUAAUGAUAUAGUCAAUGCUCGGGUAAUUAUUACAACAGGUAAAUAAAAGUAUAUGAAUUUGUUUUACUUUACAAAACAUUGUAUCAAAAU